GACGAACGCUGGCGGCGUGCUUAACACAUGCAAGUCGAACGGACAGGCCCUGCGCUUGUGGGGUGCUCGAGUGGCGAACGGGUGAGUAACACGUGAGUAUCCUGCCCUUGACUUUGGGAUAACUUCAGGAAACUGGGGCUAAUACCGGAUAGGAGCUCCUGCUGCAUGGUGGGGGUUGGAGAGUUUCGGCGGUUGGGGAUGGACUCGCGGCUUAUGCGCUUGUUGGUGGGGUAGUGGCUUACCAAGGCUUGGACGGGUAGCCGGCCUGAGAGGGUGACCGGCCACAUUGGGACUGAGGUACGGCCCGGAGUCAUACGGGCGGAAGGAGCGGGGACUAUUGCACACUGGGCGGAGGCAUGAUGCAGCAACGUCGCGUGCGAGAUGACGGCUAUCGGGUAGUAAACAGCUUUCGAGUGAGAAGGAGCGUGUGUGACGGUACUGGGCAGAGAGGCACCGGCUAACUCCGU
rnacentral:rRNA from 1 species